CCCCCUUCUCUGUUUCAUGAUGCAGUCUAGCAUGGCUUGCAGCUUCCCAGUGUCCUGCGCAUCCCUCUGUCUGAGUUGCUGGCAUGAGCCACCACUCACAGCUCUUCCUGGGUUGUGUGCCUGUAGGCAGAUUCAUCCUUUCUUCCAUAUUGUUACCUUGUGAAUUUCUCAAUUGUCCCUGAAAUAGGAUAUACGAUGAAAGAGAUUGGUGAGCAAAUACAUCCCCAAGUAGGCCAUGCAGAUGUUCACUUAACGAGUACACGCACAGAAUAAGGAUGGCUAUUGGCAUUGACCAGAAAGACCUGUGACGUGAUCCCUCAGCAUCAGCCCAUCCAGAUUCAUCUCAUUUCCAAGGAAGACAUACACGGUUGUCUCUAUGAGUACUGUUGGAAGAUAUAGAAAUGCUUUGAUUUGUAUUUGUUAUACAGAGAGUAAAAUUGACCCUGAGAAAACUAGGCCCAUUCUAACUUAACAAUUCCCCUCCUAAUAUCUCUGUGAACCUAGUAAGAUGUUGACAUCUGUAGUAAGGAUAACACCACAGUGGUUCCAUUCUCAUAACCUACCUAUGUUUUAUUUCCCAGAAUGGACUCACUGUAUCUGAUGUAAUGAGUAUUCAGUGGCCAAGGGUCUAAGGUUUUCUGCUGUGGACAUAGGAUACCUAGACUGAGAACCAGUGGCUCCAAAAUGCUUUAAACACAGGCCAUGCUCACAUAGGCUAUUCCUACCCUCUGUGUCCACAUUAAGACACAAAACUUGGAUCCAUGGUUACCAUAGCCCUGUGUGUAAGGAGCUCAGCAACGCAUGUAAGUAAGACAAAGUUCUUUUCUUGGUUUGGGUGGCCUUGAUGAGACAGACACUCUUGUCUUGGUAAAGGCAGAUGUAGGCUCCUAUGAGGCCUAUUAGACUGUGUGGUCGACUCAACAUGACUAUGAACACAAUUCUGAGGAUUUCCAAAAUUAAGAGAAAAGAUAGAGAGUCAGGGUGGACUUCAACACAUCAGGACCCUAUGCUAAG